rnacentral:rRNA from 1 species
CUGUACUGACGCUGAGCUCGAAAGUAUGGGUAGCAAACAGGAUUAGAUACCUGGUAGUCCAUACCGUAAACGAUGAAUGCUAAGUGUUGGAGGGUUCCGCCUUUCAGUGCUGCAGCUAACGCAUUAAGCAUUCCGCUGGGGAGUACGGCCGCAAGGCUGAAACUCAAAGGAAUUGACGGGGGCCCGCACAAGCGGUGGAGCAUGUGGUUUAAUUCGAAGCUACGCGAAGAACCUUACCAGGUCUUGACAUACUAUGCAAAUCUAAGAGAUUAGACGUUCCCUUCGGGGACAUGGAUACAGGUGGUGCAUGGUUGUCGUCAGCUCGUGUCGUGAGAUGUUGGGUUAAGUCCCGCAACGAGCGCAACCCUUAUUAUCAGUUGCCAGCAUUAAGUUGGGCACUCUGGUGAGACUGCCGGUGACAAACCGGAGGAAGGUGGGGAUGACGUCAAAUCAUCAUGCCCCUUAUGACCUGGGCUACACACGUGCUACAAUGGAUGGUACAACGAGUUGCGAACUCGCGAGAGUAAGCUAAUCUCUUAAAGCCAUUCUCAGUUCGGAUUGUAGGCUGCAACUCGCCUACAUGAAGUCGGAAUCGCUAGUAAUCGCGGAUCAGCAUGCCGCGGUGAAUACGUUCCCGGGCCUUGUACACACCGCCCGUCACACCAUGAGAGUUUGUAACACCCAAAGUCGGUGGGGUAACCUUUAGGAACCAGCCGCCUAAGGUGGGACAGAUGAUUAGGGUGAAGUCGUAACAAGGUAACCA